GACGAACGCUGGCGGCGUGCCUAAUACAUGCAAGUCGAACGAGAGCAACCGGUGCUUGCACUGGUCAAUCUAGUGGCGAACGGGUGAGUAACACGUGGGUAACCUGCCCAUCAGAGGGGGAUAACAUCCGGAAACGGAUGCUAAAACCGCAUAGGUCUUCGAACCGCAUGGUUUAAAGAGGAAAAGAGGCGCAAGCUUCUGCUGAUGGAUGGACCCGCGGUGCAUUAGCUAGUUGGUGAGGUAACGGCUCACCAAGGCCGUGAUGCAUAGCCGACCUGAGAGGGUGAUCGGCCACAUUGGGACUGAGACACGGCCCAAACUCCUACGGGAGGCAGCAGUAGGGAAUCUUCCGCAAUGGACGCAAGUCUGACGGAGCAACGCCGCGUGAGUGAAGAAGGUUUUCGGAUCGUAAAACUCUGUUGUUAGAGAAGAACAAGUGCUAGAGUAACUGUUAGCGCCUUGACGGUAUCUAACCAGAAAGCCACGGCUAACUACGUG
rnacentral:rRNA from 1 species